UAUUUGCAUAAUAAAUAUGAGAUAAUUACCUGUUUUGAACCGAGCUCGUAAAAAUCAGCUCUUGCAGGUUCUCGAGAAGAAAAUCCAGAAGUCAAUCUUCGAAACCGUCUUGAAAAUUGAAGAAGGGGUCCAUCCAACGCAUCUGCGUCAAUGCGAGCUUCACGUGUAAGGAUGCAGCGUUGGCUCCCCUGGUAGAAUCGGUGCCGGAGCGCGCCGGCUAUUGGCCGGCGGAGGCUAUUCGAGUUACGGCCAGGACAAGACUCACUGCAAUGGAAACCCUAAAUUUCACUUUUACAGUAAUAUGAUAGAGUCCUUGAAUCUGAUUUCAGAAAGGUGGUUGGCAUAAGGUUGGAAUGCAUAUUUCUGGAUAUCAUUUGUACCACUAAUUGAAAGUAUAUAGACAAAGUUGAAUAAAUUAGAGCUGAUGAGCAAGAAAACUAUGCCCAACUUCGUAUGUUUUAGAAGAUCUUAUCGAAGUUUGACUAUGUUUUGAUCAUCAUGUAGCGCCAUUCACACCAUACUAGAAGUUGCCCAGAAAAUUUUCCACCAUGGAAGAUGGCGACUUGAUUGUUAUACCCUCCGAGUGCCUCGAUUGAUGUAACUGACCAAGAGUUGUCUUCGCUUUUAUCCACUUCAUCCUAUGCCUAUGAGAUUCCACCUUUUUUCUGGAUAUUGGUAACUAGCAGAAUGUAUCACAUGAAUCAUAUAGUCUCGCCACAAGCGAAUGCAAGAUCUGCGUGCCAAAUUGCUUACAAGACAUUUGAAAACUGAUAUUGUGUACUUGCAUUAGUAAAUCUUGGUUGACAACAAACCCUCGAUUCGGUAUAGAAUAACAUUUAUAGUAUGCUAAUGAAUGAUAAAGUAAAAUUCCUGUUUCGGUGAUUUCAGACAACCAACGCAUUUGAUCUGUGCAUCAAGGGGAAAAAAGUAUGCUUCAUUGUACCAAGGUUAGUAAUCAGGUAUACUUCAUCAGGUUAACUCUAAUUCAAUUCUCGCUAUUCUCCAGGGAUACAGCUCCCCUACGGCUAUAAUACCCUUCCACUCUACACUAUUGUCACCCCUUUUCCUUCAAUAGCUAAUUGUUUCAGAUAUUCAGAUGGGAAGAUCAUUCAGUAAGGGCAUGUUCAAUGAGAAUGUACUGGAAAUCUUGUCAGUUGGACUAAGAAAACAGAGGAGCAGAAAUGGAGUUGGCAAUAGAGAAGGUAUUCAGAACAUGGCUCUUGAGGAGGGAGAGGAACUUGACUUCGAAGGUGGUAAACUUAUCGAGUCACUAAAUAUCUCAGAAGUUGCUGUUGAAGUCCUGGAUUUCUUGUAUGGUGCCGUCAACCAAAUGAGUCAUGGUAGCCAAAAGCACCACAGAAACUAGUUGACAUGAGUAACAAGGAGGAUGGCAGAAUCCAACAUCAUGUGGAGCAUGCCUUCACCAACAUGGUGGCCAUGCCUAAAUUAUUAUCACCAACACUAAUUUACAUAAAACAAAAUAUUGUUGUCAGUUUGUCACCACCUGGUCAUCCUCUUCUAACCCAAGAAUCUGAUAACACAAACCACUGUUAGUUGGCUCGUUGUUCAUUAAUUACGCGAUAAACUUGGUCACGAACACGAUUAGGUUAAGGCUCCGCAAAGGCUUAGUAGCUCUUAUGGACUGGUUUGAGGCUUAGCAUGUGCAAAGGACACUUUCAUUUGGUUGUUGGG